GUAGGUGGCAAGCGUUGUCCGGAAUUAUUGGGCGUAAAGCGCGCGCAGGCGGUUCUUUAAGUCUGAUGUGAAAGCCCACGGCUCAACCGUGGAGGGUCAUUGGAAACUGGAGAACUUGAGUACAGAAGAGGAAAGCGGAAUUCCACGUGUAGCGGUGAAAUGCGUAGAGAUGUGGAGGAACACCAGUGGCGAAGGCGGCGUUCUGGUCUGUAACUGACGCUGAGGCGCGAAAGCGUGGGGUAGCAAACAGGAUUAGAUACCCUGGUAGUCCACGCCGUAAACGAUGAGUGCUAAGUGUUAGGGGGUUUCCGCCCCCCUUAGUGCUGCAGCUAACGCAUUAAGCACUCCGCCUGGGAUACGGCCGCAAGGCUG
rnacentral:rRNA from 1 species